UGCUGUUGCUAGGGAAGAAAAAGUAGUUGAGGAAAUGCUUCUACAUUGACGGUACCUUGUUAGAAAGCGAUGGCUAACUAUGUGCCAGCAGCCGCGGUAAUACAUAGGUCGCAAGCGUUAUCCGGAAUUAUUGGGCGUAAAGCGUUCGUAGGCUGUUUAUUAAGUCUGGAGUCAAAUCCCAGGGCUCAACCCUGGCUCGCUUUGGAUACUGGUAAACUAGAGUUGGAUAGAGGUAAGCGGAAUUCCAUGUGAAGCGGUGAAAUGCGUAGAUAUAUGGAAGAACACCAAAGGCGAAGGCAGCUUACUGGGUUUAUACUGACGCUGAGGAACGAAAGCGUGGGGAGCAAACAGGAUUAGAUACCCUGGUAGUCCACGCCGUAAACGAUGAUCAUUAGUCGGCAGAGAA
rnacentral:rRNA from 2 species